CGAUAAACCCUUCCAAUCGAUUUCACCAUCACAUAGAAUUUGGAAGAUGGGAAAAUUAUCGCCAUCAUUUCGUUCAAUUCUCUCCUCCAACACUGUCAUUAACAAACCGCCCCAUUCUCCGGCGGCGCCUCCGCUCUCAUCCAAGAAAGCAACACCAAAACCUUCCCGGAAAACUCCAUCGGGUCAGAGCUCCGGCCACCCCGAAAAGCCUAAACUCCCAACGGUGUUCAAAUCGGCUAGUCUCGCCGACGCCAAGAAGCUCUACUCCUCCUUCGUCUCCGCUACAAAAGCCCCUUUCAAUCUUCGAGUUCAUAAUUCCCUCCUUCAGUCUUACGCUUCAAUUGCUACACUCAAUGAUUCCAUCUCUUUCCUCCGCCAUAUGUCCAAAGUUCAACCUUCCUUCUCGCCCGAUCAAUCGACUUUUCAUAUCUUACUCUCUACCUCCGGGAAUCGUCCCGAUUCCACUCUCGCCUCGGUUCAGCAAAUUCUCAAUUUCAUGGUUACCAAUGGCUUCAAUCCUGACAAGGUAACUGCUGAUCUUGCUGUGCGUUCGCUUUGUUCGGUAGGUCUCGUUGAUGAAGCUGUAGAGUUAGUUAAGGAAUUAUCGCAAAAACACACGCCUCCUGAUAUUUAUACAUAUAAUCAUCUCGUUAAGCAACUUUGCAAGUCCAGAGCUCUGUCCACGGUUUAUAAUUUUAUAGUUGAAAUGCGUAGUAGCUGUGGUGCGAAGCCCGAUCUUGUUACUUAUACAAUCUUGAUAGAUAAUGUGUGUAAUAGCAAUAAUCUACGUGAGGCUAUGCGGUUGGUAAGUUUGUUGUAUAAGGAGGGUUUUAAGCCGGAUUGCUUUGUUUAUAACACAAUUAUGAAAGGUUAUUGUAUGGUUGGCAGGGGCGCCGAGGCAAUUGGAGUCUAUAAGAAAAUGAAGGAGGUGGGAUUGGAGCCCGAUGUUGUAACUUUUAAUACAUUGAUUUUUGGCUUGUCGAAGUCGGGGCGAGUUAAGGAAGCCAGAAACUUUUUGGACAUUAUGGCAGAGAUGGGUCAUUUCCCUGACGCAGUUACUUACACUUCAUUGAUGAAUGGAAUGUGUCGUGAGGGUAAUGCAUUGGGAGCAUUGUCAUUGCUUAAGGAGAUGGAGGCAAAGGGGUGUAACCCCAAUUCUUGCACGUAUAAUACGUUACUCCAUGGGUUGUCAAAGUCUAGGCUUUUGGACAGAGGGAUUGAAUUGUAUGGUUUGAUGAAGUCUUGUGAUAUGAAGCUUGAAACAGCUUCCUAUUCUACUUUUGUGAGGGCGCUAUGCAGGAGUGGUAGAAUUGCUGAAGCAUAUGAAGUGUUUGAUUAUGCAGUUGAGAGUAAAAGUCUGACUGAUGUUUCUGCAUAUUUGUCGUUAGAGAGUACAUUGAAGUCUCUGAAGAAUGCGAGGGAGCAAGCCCAUGCUAUAUAACUGGCCCUGAGCAUUUGGCUGGCUAAUGGAAAAAAUUGGUUUAGCGGAAACUUGGUGAAGCGUUAAUGACAGGUGAAAGCCUGUUAAUAGAGGUUUCUGGCUAAACAUUUGUAGAAGAAUAUGGAUCCAACCUACAAUUUGUAAAAGAUAGUCUUUUUUAGUACACAUUCGCGAUCUGCGAUCGAUGCGUGUAUGAAAUCAGCAGUGGAUAUGUCUUAUCAUAAUAUAAAGACCAAGUUGGUAAGUAAUGCAUAUGGGUAUGUGAUUAUAUUUUGGUUGGUAAGGUAACAAUAUCUUUAAAAAUAACUGGCAAAAAUUAAAAGUUUUGCCAAAAUAUCUUCAGCAGAUCACAAAGCCUGACAAUACUACCCUAUUAUUUGGUUUGGUUCAUUGCUUUGUAAAACCAAAAAUUUAAAAAGGACAUUUGUAAGAAUUAUGGUGGAAUUAAGGUUCA